CUCAGUAACUCAGCACCAGCUCAGUGUCCCCACGUGUCCCAGGGACAUCAUCCUGACCCAGACACCAAGAUCCCUGUUAACAUCUUUUGGAAAGAGGCACUCAAUCUUUUAUCAAGCAACUGCCCAGGGAAGAGGUAAUUGGGAAAUGUAGGCAACCUGGAGAGAAUAGAUGAGAAUAGAAAUGCAUCCUCAAAAGAACAGGUAAUCACCUCCCUAGGUAAAGUAUCAACUUUGAGUCUCUUCCAUUUUUGAUUCCUCUUUUGUGUUAAUCUUCCUUGAUAUAAAAAUUCUCAGGAAGAGUUUUCUUAAAAAUUGGUUUCCUUCUGAAGAAUUUG